rnacentral:rRNA from 1 species
UGAGGAAUAUUGGUCAAUGGGCGGGAGCCUGAACCAGCCAAGUCGCGUGAGGGAAGAAGGUGCUAAGCAUUGUAAACCUCUUUUGCCGGGGAACAAAAGAUCCCACGCGUGGGAUUAUGAGUGUACCCGGAGAAAAAGCAUCGGCUAACUCCGUGCCAGCAGCCGCGGUAAUACGGAGGAUGCGAGCGUUAUCCGGAUUUAUUGGGUUUAAAGGGUGCGCAGGCGGCUCGUCAAGUCAGCGGUAAAAUGUCGGGGCUCAACCCCGGCCGGCCGUUGAAACUGACGAGCUGGAGUUGGAGAGAAGUACGCGGAAUUCGUGGUGUAGCGGUGAAAUGCUUAGAUAUCACGAAGAACUCCGAUUGCGAAGGCAGCGUACCGGCUCCAUACUGACGCUGAGGCACGAAAGCGUGGGGAUCGAACAGGAUUAGAUACC